rnacentral:rRNA from 1 species
GAUGAACGCUGGCGGCGUGCCUAAUACAUGCAAGUCGAGCGAAGCGGGGACGGGUGGGUAACACGAUGAUAACCUCCUAUAAGACUGGUAUAACUUCGGGAAACCGGAGGUAAACCGGAUACUUAUAGUUGGAUCCCCGCUGCAUUAGCUAGUGGGUAAGGGAACGGCUUACCAAGGCAACGCUGCAUGGCCGACCUGGAGGAGUGAGCGGCCAAACGGGAACUGAGACACGGUGCAGACUCCUACGGGAGGCAGCGGGAGGGAAUCUUCCGCAAUGGGCGAAAGCCUGACGGAGCAACGCAGCGAGGGUGAUGAAGGUCUUCGGACCGUAAAACUCUGUUACUAGGGAGGCGGUACCUAAUCAGAAAGCCACGGCUAACUACGUGCCAGCAGCCGCGGUAAUUC